CGGGAUGUAGGAUAGUGGCUAAUCCGCCUGGUUCGGGACCAGGAGAUCGGCGGUUCAAAUCCGCCCGUCCCGA
rnacentral:tRNA from 1 species